GAUUUAAAAAAAAUGCCAUAAGGUUUUAAAUUAUAGUUCUGAUAAUGUCUGUAAAACAAUACUGGAAACACUGAUAAAAUGGCUGAUAAUAACAAUUAAAAACUGACUGACUAGCUGUACUAAUCUGAAAGCCUCUAAACUGUCUGACUGUGGAGUUGAUGGGACAAGCCCCCAACUAACUUCGACUCACUAGAUAGCCAAACUAUUGAUAUACCUGAAUAUAAGAUAACUCGUCCUUGAAGGAUGAAGACUCACCAUAGCUGUUGCUGCUGAUGCACUAGAAGGUCUAAGUACGAUUGGGAAUUCAAGCGUCCGGACCUAUGAUAUAAGACAUCAUAAAACAAGAAAUGAGUAUGCGUCGGUACUUUGAAUGUACUGGUAUGCUAAAUGAGGUUAGGCUAAUAUGCAUGGUUUCAUGUACAUAAGUAAUAACUGACUGAAUGUAUAACAUAAGGUACUGAGUAAAAAUGCAUGUAAACUGUAAAGAUUGAGAAUGCAUGACCAAGCAUAAAAAAGUUCUGAAAUAGUCUGUAAACUGAAAUAAUGAAAUACUAGUAACCAAAUAACUGAUAUUGUUUGCUGCGGUCAAGAAAACCUGAAACUGAAUACUGAACUAAAACUGUGGGAGCUAGCUAUAACUGACAUGCCCUAAUAUACUAUCAGGAUACAACCUGUAACCCCAGCUGGAAGGGUGUUAGUAUCGUGCUACGGGUACUAACAAUGGCUGCGUGGAUCCACUAAUUUGAUAUCCCAAAGGACGAGGGUGUCAUGACGCCAUCCUUAUGUUCACUAAGUGCUAAAUUUUAAUCCCAACUGGAAUAUACACUACUAAAAAAAUACCAAAAUGCGAUGGCCAAAAGCGACGGCCAGCGUCGCUUUUUUGCGCAAAAGCAACGAAAAUUCAUCGCUUUAUUUACGUCUAAAAAAGGGGCGUUGUUUUUUGAAAACGAUGGCAUACGUCGCUUUUAUUACGACGGACAUCGUCGCUUUUUGGAAAAAAUUAAGUUACUUUUUUUAGAAAAAGGGAUCCCAUGCGUCGUUUUAUUGAAGAAAAAAUUCAAAAAAAUUCAAAAAAAAUGACAUUUUCC
rnacentral:lncRNA from 1 species